rnacentral:rRNA from 1 species
CACGUAGGGGGCAAGCGUUGUCCGGAUUUAUUGGGCGUAAAGAGCUCGUAGGCGGUUCGGUAAGUCGGGUGUGAAACCUCCAGGCUCAACCUGGAGAUGCCACCUGAUACUGCUGUGACUCGAGUCCGGUAGGGGAGCGUGGAAUUCCCGGUGUAGCGGUGGAAUGCGUAGAGAUCGGGAAGAACAUCAGUGGCGAAGGCGGCCUGCUGGGCUGUUGCUGACGCUGAGGCGCGACAGCGUGGGGGAGCAAACAGG